UUUCAGAAAGGUACACUGGGAUAGUCAUUUUUUCCUGAAGAAGCUUAUGGAGCGAUAAUCCUCCUUCUUCUCAUCCUCCGUGGCGAUACAACCGACUCUGUAGCGGGAUGCAGCAAAGAUCCCUUCAGCCUGACUGGCGAGUGGCGAGCGUUCAAUAAAGGCAUUUUAUUCUCCAACGUCGAAUGAGCCAAAUGCCGAAAUGAAACCUGGUGAUUGGUAAGCAACUUUCAGCUUAAACCAAAAAAAAUUUCAUGAAUGUAGGCCAAACAAAAAAGUAAUGUCGUUUGUCUACUGUUUUCGUACAUUUUAACAUUCAGCACAGUUGGCGGAUCAAAGGUUGCAGGAAACAAAGUCUUCAUCGUCUAUUUCGUUGAUGUCAAUUACUGAUGUGUGGAUUUUUAACGUGCUUUCCUGUAUUAACGGAUGCAGUUGGAAAAUUUGACUAAUUAGUUGACACUUUCUCUUGGUCUUGCUGGUUAAAAACAUUU